AGAAACGAGAAACCUUUACCAGGUCUUGACAUCCUUAGACCACUCUAGAGAUAGAGCUUUCCUUUGGGGGACAAAGUGACAGGUGGUGCAUGGUUGUCGUCAGCUUGUGUCGUGAGAUGUUGGGUUAAGUCCCGCAACGAGCGCAACCCUUAUUACUAGUUGCCAGCAUUUAGUUGGGCACUCUAGUGAGACUGCCGGUGACAAACCGGAGGAAGGUGGGGACGACGUCAAAUCAUCAUGCCCCUUAUGACCUGGGCUACACACGUGCUACAAUGGAUGGUACAACGAGUUGCGAGACCGCGAGGUUUAGCUAAUCUCUUAAAACCAUUCUCAGUUCGGAUUGUAGGCUGCAACUCGCCUACAUGAAGCCGGAAUCGCUAGUAAUCGCGGAUCAGCAUGC
rnacentral:rRNA from 2 species